rnacentral:rRNA from 1 species
UACGUAGGUGGCAAGCGUUGUCCGGAUUUACUGGGCGUAAAGAGCGCGCAGGCGGUCGUCCAAGUCGCGUGUGAAAGCCCCCGGCUCAACUGGGGAGGGUCACGCAAUACUGGUCGACUCGAAGGCAGGAGAGGGUAGUGGAAUUCCCGGUGUAGUGGUGAAAUGCGUAGAUAUCGGGAGGAACACCAGUGGCGAAGGCGACUACCUGGCCUGUUCUUGACGCUGAGGCGCGAAAGCUAGGGGAGCAAACGGG